CCUACGGGUGGCUGCAGUCGAGAAUCAUUCACAAUGGGGGAAACCCUGAUGGUGCGACGCCGCGUGGGGGAAUGAAGGUCUUCGGAUUGUAAACCCCUGUCAUGUGGGAGCAAAUUAAAAAGAUAGUACCACAAGAGAAAGAGACGGCUAACUCUGUGCCAGCAGCCGCGGUAAUACAGAGGUCUCAAGCGUUGUUCGGAAUCACUGGGCGUAAAGCGUGCGUAGGCUGUUUCGUAAGUCGUGUGUGAAAGGCGCGGGCUCAACCCGCGGACGGCACAUGAUACUGCGAGACUAGAGUAAGGGAGGGGGAACCGGAAUUCUCGGUGGAGCAGUGAAAUGCGUAAAUAUCGAGAGGAACACUCGUGGCGAAGGCGGGUUCCUGGACAUUAACUGACGCUGAGGCACGAAGGCCAGGGGAGCGAAAGGGAUUAGAUACCCGGGUAGUC
rnacentral:rRNA from 1 species